rnacentral:rRNA from 1 species
AUUGAACGCUGGCGGCAGGCUUAACACAUGCAAGUCGAGCGGAGAUGAGGUGCUUGCUCCUUAUCUUAGCGGCGGACGGGUGAGUAAUGCUUAAGAAUCUGCCUAUUAGUGGGGGACAACAUUCCGAAAGGGAUGCUAAUACCGCAUACGUCCUACGGGAGAAAGCAGGGGAUCUUCGGACCUUGCGCUAAUAGAUGAGCCUAAGUCGGAUUAGCUAGUUGGUGGGGUAAAGGCCUACCAAGGCGACUAUCUGUAGCGGGUCUGAAAGGAUGAUCCGCCACUCUGGGACUGAGACACGGCCCACACUCCUACGGGAGGCAGCAGUGGGGAAUAUUGGACAAUGGGGGGAACCCUGAUCCAGCCAUGCCGCGUGUGUGAAGAAGGCCUUAUGGUUGUAAAGCACUUUAAGCGAGGAGGAGGCUACUGGGACUAGUACUCUUGGAUAGUGGACGUUACUCACAAAAUAAGCACCGGCUAUCUCUGUGCCAGCAGCCGCGGUAAUACAGAGGGUGCGAGCGUUAAUCGGAUUUGCUGGGCGUAAAGCGUGCGUAGGC